rnacentral:misc_RNA from 1 species
CUUGGACUGAGGAUGAGCACAGGUAAAUUUAUUGUUACUGAUUUAUUUAGUUCUUUGGUACACCUGCAAAGUUAUAUACAACUUUUCAUAAUUGCUCUUUGCUAAUGAUUGUUUUUCUUGUUUAAUACUCUAUUGAUUAGUGUUUCUUUUGUUUUUGUCUUCAAUUGCAUGCUUUUGAGGUUAGCUAUAUCUUUUUGUGAAGAAUCUUGUCCUAGUAAUUCAGUUGGAAUCUUUAGCCUUGCUUCAACUUUUAUAGUUUUUAUUAAAACUUCUUUUUCCUCAAAGCAAGUUUACUGGGUGAGGGUGAGUUACUAUUGUUUGAUGAACUUCAGCAACAUAUGAUUUUCUGCUGGCUUACUUGAUAUGUUACUGUAUUAUUGCUGCCAAAUGUGCUGAAAGGUCAAGUAGUCAAUUUGGAAGUUUUGAAAGGCUGGCAUGUAGACGAAUAAAGUUGGUGGUUUCAACAACAUGAGAGAUUGCUUAUUACUUGUGUCAUCCUUUUGCCCUUGAAUUCUUUUGAGAAAGUUAAAAAAAAAAA